rnacentral:lncRNA from 1 species
GCAGCCCAAAGGGUGCAGACCUGAGACCUCUGACCAACAGUCAGCAGGGAACUGAGACCUGCUGCCCACAGCCAUGUAAGCGAGCAUGGAAAUGGAUCCUGUAGCCCUGGUCAAGCCUUCAGACACCUGAAGGGAAUGAUCUCCUUUCCUACUUCUGAGCAUUGUUACCUACAUGUGAAUCUUGGAACUGCUGCAGUCUUAAUGAUACCUAAGAUACCAGCCUUGAGUGAUGGGGAUUGAGAAUAAUGCAUUCCGCAGACCAACAGUCAUGUACAAAAUGCCAGAUAUUUUGUAGAUCUGUUUCAGUGAAGACACCACCUCUACUCGAGCAGCUGCAUUUGAGACUGUCAGCUGUUUAAAUUUAUGGUAGUCCACCAUAAUCUUCCACAAUCUAUCUUGUUUCUAUAGGAGCCAAACAGUGUCUUCAUUGAUUCUCGCCACACUUUCUGGAAUAGGAAGAACACAUGUGAUAAUUGUUGAUGAGUACACUGAUGGAUAGAACAUUGUAUAUUUCUCUAGGUCCUAUAAUCUGAUCACAACUUAUUGAGACAUAACAAAGUCUCUUUUGGUUCUUGAGCAUUGUGUGAAGAUGUUAUUUUUGAAACUGCUGCAGCCAUCACGUAACUAAGAGGGAGUGAGACUUCACGGGUGGAAAGAACCUGGAUCCUUGAUGACACAGUUGAUUCAUUGAAUCAACCACCCAUCAAAAGCCCAAUCCCUACACUUGAGUGAAGCAGAGGAAGAUUAUACACACAGAAGAAGAGGAAAUGAUGUGACCACGGAGGCAGAAAUUGAAGUGAUGUGGAUGCACGCUAAGUAAUGCCAGUAGUCACCAGAAGCUGGAAGAGUCACGCUAUCUCCACAACAGCCUCUUGAAGAAUGGCCCUAACACUACCUUAAUUUCAGUCCAGUGAAAAUGAUUUCAGACUUCUGGCCUCUGAAACUGUGAGGAAUAAUUUUCUGUUGUUUUAAGCCAACAAAUUUGUGGUGAUUUGUUACAGUAGUCUUAGAAAACUAAUAUGCUUUUCUACCCAGUUGCAUGACUCUCUCCAGCUGCUCUGAUGUAAUCAUAGAAAUGGUGGAUGGUCGAGUUGUUUUUGCAAGGAUGAUGGAAGCAGAAAGGAGAACGGAAUCCUGGAUGUUUUCAAAAUGAGGAAGUUGAAAUCAAGACAAACAAGUGAUGUGGCCAAGGCCAAACAGUUGAUAAGUUUGCUGUCUUUGGUGCCUAGUCUAGAGAGAACCAGCAGCAUCUACUAGAAAGAGAUGAAUGUCAUGCUAAUUUUAUAUGUGACCACGGGUGAGUCACUUCCCCUCACCAGGAAAAGAUGUCUUUAUCUGUAAAAGAGAUGAUUGAAAUAAACUAUCUUGAAGGUC